CAAAUCGAAGCACCUGGCCUCGUUUGAAUGAAAGAAGAUAAGAAGGAUUUAUAGAGAACAAGGGUGGAGGCAAUGAAAGGAAAAACAGAAGUGAAAGACUAAAAAGAGCAAAUAAAAACCCGUUUCUCUCAACAUAGGUGUUGCAAAUUCAGACACGGGCUACACCCACCAGCUGUUUGGGAUGUGAUUCUGUGCCACGGCAAAGACAAAUUCUUAUGAAUCUUUCCAGAUCUUCCAAGAGUCUACAUGCCAAGACUGGGUUAAAGGUGUAAGAGGUUAAUUGGAGAGGAAAACCUCAGUGUGGGACCCAAGGAAAAAAACAGGAGUCUGGGAAGGCUAGACCAGCACCACACAAGUGUGCCUGUGCAAGGGCGGGGAGAAGGAAAGAACGGGGCAGACAGGUCAGAAAGAAAGGAAGAAAGUCCGAAUGUAGCACAAGUUUAAGAUCUACAAAGAUAGCUAUAGUUGAAUACAAUUUAGUGUCUCCCCAAGACCCCGUGGGCUGAAAAGUAUUCCCCAUUGUGAGGUAUUAAGAAGAUGGAAAUAUAAUCUAACUUCACCUUUGGGAGGUGAUUCAGAUUAGAUAGCAUCGUGGGGAUGAAACCACCAUGUUGGAACCUUAAUGGCAUUAUCAAAAGAGUGAGAAACUUUGGUUGCAGAACAUAAAGAACUCAAGAUCAGCUGAUCAGAAAACUUCCUCUCCUCUAGUUAGCUUCAAUAGAGCCAGACUGUGCUAUGUACACUACUGGGGAAGAAAAGCCAUCCACCAUCUUAUCCAGCUGUGGUCUCUGUGAGCUAUGUCACCAGCCUGCCAGCCAAGGUGGACAGUGUGCCCACUGAGGCCAGACUGUUGCAGAAGAAAACAAAUGUUUUCUGUGGUAUUCAGGCUCUGUUUUCUAUAGGAGGGAAUAUACGGUUAGUGUUAUUUAUCUGAUCAAAAUAAGGCUGUGGAGGUCAUGGGCCCUAGAGUGGGAGAGGCGCUGCAACUGUAGUUUCCUUAAAUGGACAUGACUUCAAAUUGCCUUUUCAUUGUGUGCGUUUACAGUAGACUGUGCUGCUUUAACCUUGGUCAGAGGAGCUGCUUUUUACAGUGUGUGACAGUUACUGCAAAGACUGAUAACUGGUGAAAGACCCGAGAGAAAGUGACUGUUGGAUACUCAGACCUAAAUAGGAAACAGCUGCAUAACCCACGCCUAGGCUCAGGGACUGUCACAGAAGAGCAGGCAAAAAGAAUGUAAAAGCCAAAUGAUGGUGGGUUACGGCUGCAAAACACUGUCAUCUGGAUGUGUCAUGGUUGCUGCACUCAUAAACUCACAGCAGCUGUUGUGACCUGCACAUGCUGGGGCCUCAUCCACAUUCCAUCAUGGAUGGGGGAUGGGCUUUCGAGGUAGCACUGCCCUCUCAGGAGCUGUUGGCAGUUGAUGAUUGCUGGGGGAGGGGAAAUCAAAAUAUUCAAUGGCAAAUUGUCUUGAUCUGGUAAAAACCUCCACUACUCAUGUUCAUACAAACAAGUCUGGAUUAAAGUCAGCUGAAACAAAAUAAUAAUAAUAACAACAACAACAACAAUAAAACUCAGUGAGUCACUAUAUUAGCAAGAAAAGGACAUAAAAGUAGAAGGGCAAUUUGUUUAAAAAAUUGAGGGGUUCAUUAGGAGAAAGGGUGGACAAGAGGAUAUAUAUAUGAUAACUUUGGUUUUAUAUAUAUAUAUAAAAUUAUCUUAAUAUAAUAUUUUAUAUAUUAUUAUAUAUAUUAUUAUAUAGAUAUAUAUAAAAUUACCACAAUAAACUCUCUUGUUAAAACUCA